rnacentral:lncRNA from 1 species
GCACCCCUGAGACACCUGUUCAGGUGAUAGAAAAAGUGCAAUCUGAAUAUGAAAACACUUUGCACAAUAUCGAAGCUCAGCUAAAUAUUCCAAUUGUAUUGACUUCCACAAAUUCCCUACUCUUCAAGAAAUUACUUCCUUGAAAAUUCCUUCGUUCUAAGUUUUUAAUGAUUUGAAUUAUUCAAAUUGUGCAGGUUUAUU